rnacentral:hammerhead_ribozyme from 1 species
GUCUAGAUGAGUAGUCCCAAAUAGGACGAAAUGCGCAUCGUGGAU